rnacentral:tRNA from 1 species
AGGGUUAUAGUUUAAUAUAAAACAUUUAAUUUGCAAUUAAAAAAUAUUAUCCAUAAUAAUUUACCUUA